UACGGAGGGUGCAAGCGUUGUCCGGAUUUAUUGGGCUUAAAGGGCGCGUAGGCGGCCCGUUAAGUCAGUGGUGAAAGCCUCCAGCUCAACUGGAGAACUGCCAUUGAUACUGACGGGCUUGAGUACAGACGAGGUUGGCGGAAUUGAUUGUGUAGCGGUGAAAUGCAUAGAUACAAUCAAGAACACCGAUUGCGUAGGCAGCUAACUAGGCUGUAACUGACGCUGAGGCACGAAAGCGUGGGGAGCGAACAGG
rnacentral:rRNA from 1 species